UACGUAGGGUGCGAGCGUUGUCCGGAAUUAUUGGGCGUAAAGAGCUUGUAGGCGGUUUGUCGCGUCUGCUGUGAAAAUCCGUGGCUCAACCCCGGACUUGCAGUGGGUACGGGCAGACUAGAGUGUGGUAGGGGAGACUGGAAUUCCUGGUGUAGCGGUGAAAUGCGCAGAUAUCAGGAGGAACACCGAUGGCGAAGGCAGGUCUCUGGGCCACUACUGACGCUGAGAAGCGAAAGCAUGGGGAGCGAACAGGAUUAGA
rnacentral:rRNA from 1 species